rnacentral:rRNA from 1 species
GACCGUAAACGCUGUCUACUAGCUUGUUUGGUGGUAAUUUAACUCCGUGAGUAGACGAAGACUAACGCGAAUUAAGUACGGACCCGCCGGUGGGGAAGGUACCGGGCCCGACGUAAAAGGUUUAAAACUACAAAUAGUAAUUGGACGGGGGCCCCGCACAAGCGGUGGAGCAUGUGGUUUAAUUCGAUGCAACGCGAAGAACCUUACCUACUCUUGACAUACUAGAAACUUUUCAGAGAUGAAUUGGUGCCUUCGGGAAUCUAGAUACAGGUGCUGCAUGGCU